rnacentral:piRNA from 1 species
UCCAAACUGAAAAUCAGGGUAAACUGAUGA